UACGUAGGGGGCGAGCGUUACCCGGAUUUACUGGGCGUAAAGGGGGCGUAGGCGGCCGUGAAAGUCCGGUGUGAAAACUCACGGCUCAACCGUGGGACUGCGCUGGAAACUACACGGCUUGAGGACGGUAGAGGGAGACGGAACUGCUGGUGUAGGGGUGAAAUGCGUAGAUAUCAGCAGGAACGCCGGUGGAGAAGUCGGUCUCCUGGGCCGUUCCUGACGCUGAGGCCCGAAAGCUAGGGGAGCAAACCGG
rnacentral:rRNA from 1 species